GUCUUCGGCCAUGCCACGCUGAACAUGCUAAUCUCGUCUGAUCUCAGAAGCUAAGCAGGGUCAGGCCUGGUUAGUGCUUGGAUGGGAGACCACCUAGGAAGACCAGAUACUGUAGGUA
rnacentral:rRNA from 1 species